UAUAUAUAAUUUGUGAAACGUCAGAUCCAAUUAAGAUGGAAAUUAGCGCUAUUUCCGCAAAUGUUGAAUGUGUUAAGUGAUAUCAAUUGCCGGCCUUGGGGGAAAAUUGUAAAUUUUUGCGUUUUCAACAUGGCAUUUGUAAACAGUCAACCCCCCAAAACCCAGCAAACCUACAGGGACUGAUCAAAAUCGUGCUCAAAAAGAAAAUCGCAAUCUAAUUCGGAUUGGUAGAGUCAAUCGAGCCUAUUGCAAGUAACAACGAAUUUAACGUAAGUGCACCGAAUGGGCCUGUCGUAACGCCAUGGCUGUUACAUAACCGACUUUUAUAGUUCAUGGUCAAAUCGAAGUAUACCUUUAGUUGUGUUCUUAAUUCUAUUUUUGAAUUGAAAUGUAAAAACAGUGACGGGUUACGUCAUGGUAUAGUGGUGCGUGUUGCGAGAAGGCCUAGAAGCGCAAUUAACGACUCUUCUUUCACAACGUUCAUCAAUAGACGUUAACGAAGAA